rnacentral:rRNA from 1 species
GACGAACGCUGGCGGCGUGCCUAACACAUGCAAGUCGAACGGAAAGGCCCUGCUUUCGUGGGGUGCCCGAGUGGCGAGCGGGUGUGUAACACGUGAGUAACCUGCCCUUUACUUUGUGAUAACUUCAGGAAACUGGGGCUAAUACCGGAUAGGAGCUCCUGCUGCAUGGUGGGGGUCGGAAAGCUUCGGCGGUUGGGGAUGGACGUGCGGCUUACUAGCUUGUUGGUGGGGUAGUGGCCUACCAAGGCUUUGACGGGUAGCCGGCCUGAGAGGGUGAACGGCCACAUUGGGACUGAGAUACGGCCCAGACUCCUACGGGAGGCAGCAGUGGGGAAUAUUGCACAGUGGGCGGAAGCCUGAUGCAGCGACGCCGCGUGCGGGAUGACGGCCUUCGGGUUGUAAACCGCUUUCGCCUGUGACGAAGCGUGAGUGACGGUAAUGGGUAAAGAAGCACCGGCUAACUACGUG